rnacentral:rRNA from 1 species
UUUAAACAUGCAAGUCGAACGGAAACGAAAAUAGCUUGCUAUUUGGCGUCGAGUGGCGAACGGGUGAGUAACGCGUAGGAAUCUACCCAGUAGAGGGGGAUAGCCCGAAGAAAUUCGGAUUAAUACCGCAUAAUCUCUACGGAGUAAAGAAGGCCUCUUUACAAUGCUUUUACUAUUGGAUGAGCCUGCGUUAGAUUAGUUAGUUGGUAGGGUAAAAGCCUACCAAGGCGACGAUCUAUAGCUGGUUUUACGAGAAUGAUCAGCCACACUGGAACUGAGACACGGUCCAGACUCCUACGGGAGGCAGCAGUGAAGAAUAUUGGACAAUGGGGGAAACCCUGAUCCAGCAAUGUUGCGUGUGUGAAGAAGGUCCGAGGAUUGUAAAGCACUUUCAGUAAGCAAGAAAAAUGUAAAUCUAAUAGAUUUGCAUGUUGACCACUUAUAGAAGAAGCACCGGCUAACUCCGUGCCAGCAGCCGCGGUAAUACGGAGGGUGCGAGCGUUAAUCGGAAUUACUGGGCGUAAAGGGUAAGUAGGCGGUUUAUAAAGUCACAUGUGAAAGCCCUAAGCUUAACCUAGGAAG